AGCGAACGCUGGCGGCAGGCCUAACACAUGCAAGUCGAACGGAUCCUUCGGGAUUAGUGGCGGACGGGUGAGUAACACGUGGGAACGUGCCCUUUGGUUCGGAACAACUCAGGGAAACUUGAGCUAAUACCGGAUGUGCCCUUCGGGGAAAGAUUAUCGCCAUUGGAGCGGCCCGCGUCUGAUUAGCUAGUUGGUGGGGUAAAGGCCCACCAAGGCGACGAUCAGUAGCUGGUCUGAGAGGAUGAUCAGCCACAUUGGGACUGAGACACGGCCCAAACUCCUACGGGAGGCAGCAGUGGGGAAUCUUGCGCAAUGGGCGAAAGCCUGACGCAGCCAUGCCGCGUGAAUGAUGAAGGUCUUAGGAUUGUAAAAUUCUUUCACCGGGGACGAUAAUGACGGUACCCGGAGAAGAAGCCCUGG
rnacentral:rRNA from 1 species